UGCCUUCUUUCCUUUGGAGACUUGGGUGGU
rnacentral:piRNA from 1 species